AUGACUUUAGGCUAUCCAUUUUUUCACCUGUUUUAUUGUCCAGUAGGUGAACAAAGGUGUGUCUGGUUACUUCAAAUGUGUGUGAAGAGGUGUGCUGUAGUUUUAUUAUCUCCUUCUGUGAAUCCGAGGUGGUUCAGGGUUUCUGUUAUGUUGAGAUGUGUACGGUGUGUGGUUUUCAGGUCUUCCCGAGCCACUCAUCCGUUUGAGAGGGAGUCAAUGGUAACAGCAUCUGAAAUGUUUGCUGUAGUACCUCUUAAUACCAUAAGGAGGCAGCAGUGAGCUGACACAUUCACAGUCUGUAGUGAACGUGCUCUCCAUCCAAAUGAAGAACUUAACAAGUGUGACACGUUCCUCACAAUUUCAAGUCAGUCAUCUAAAGAGAGGCUGAAGUAUUUUCAUCGCUCGUGGUUCCAGUGAAGCUCAGAAGCUGAUACCAGAGGAGACCUGAUUCACGGCGCUGCUGAACAGAAGCCCUUUGUUAGCAGCCACUGAAUAAAACUCCUGCACGUCUGAGAUAAUGUCCCCUCCAAAACACUUAACAGCUUGUUUUUCGUGUUCAUUCAGUUCAAGUGAUGUUUUUGUGAUUGUAACUAAUAGCUGCACUUGAAACAAGCUUUUGAAAGUCGAUCAUUUAAAGUUUGAUUAGAAAUAGCAGAUUGGUUGAUUGGAUGAAUCUGGUUAUAGAGUGAGUGUUGGUCAGGGUUAUUAUUGUUAUUAUUAUUAUUAUUAUUAUUAUUAUUAAAACAAAAGCUAAGAGCAUUAACUGAAAAAAUUUAGACAUUUUAUUUCAACUAGUUACAAGACCGUUUCCCCUAAUUUAGUUUAAAUUAAAGCUCUAAAAUAACUAAAGCUAUAUAGACUAAAUAUAAUCAUAAAAAGCUAUAAAGAUAAUACAAAUGAUAAAACUAAACAAAAAAUUAAAGUGAAAACAGAAAAUAUAACAAAUUAUAGCAAAUAUGAACAAAAACUAUUAUAAAUUAUCAUAAAAACAAAACCAUUGGUUAUCUAUUUGAGUUUUUUUAUUUUUUUAUUUCAUUUUUAAUGAUAAGAAAAGUAUUGUUUGUGUAAUUUCAUUUAGAUGUUAUUUUAUUUACUAAACAAUGUUAUUAUUUGUAUCCAAGCGUUCGUGGCUGUUUUAUUCGUUUUUUCUUUGUUAAAUAAUAAAUUGACAAAAUUAAAAUAUUAUUUGAAUUUAUGCAUUUGUGGCUAUAUUUUGUUUCUGUUUUUCUUUCUGUUAGUUUAUAUUAAUUAAAUAACAACAUAAUUAAAAUUCUUUUAGUUAACAUUAUUAUUUAGAUAUGGAUUUGUGGCUAUAUUUUGUUCUUUGCUUAUUCUUUGUUGAUUUCAUUUAUUUAAAAAAAGUAAAUAAAUAAAUACAAAUAAAACAGUAAUCAAAUAAAAUAACUGAAGAAUAAUAAUACACUGAAAAAGUGUUUAAUUCAUCCAGUUAAAGUGAAAUUAGGAUAAUGAUUCACAUUUAUUUUUGCCUAUGGGCAAGUUAUUUAUUUUUCAUUGGCUCAUGUUAAAAAAUAUAGAUGUGAAUCAUAACCAUACAUUUUUUAAUUGGAUGAAUGAAACACUUUUUU
rnacentral:lncRNA from 1 species